rnacentral:rRNA from 1 species
CCUACGGGAGGCAGCAGUGGGGAAUAUUGGACAAUGGGCGCAAGCCUGAUCCAGCCAUGCCGCGUGUGUGAAGAAGGCCUUCGGGUUGUAAAGCACUUUUAUCCGGAAAGAAAAGCUUUGGGUUAAUACCCUGAAGUCAUGACGGUACCGGAAGAGUAAGCACCGGCUAACUUCGUGCCAGCAGCCGCGGUAAUACGAAGGGUGCAAGCGUUACUCGGAAUUACUGGGCGUAAAGCGUGCGUAGGUGGUUUGUUAAGUCUGAUGUGAAAGCCCUAGGCUCAACCUGGGAAUUGCAUUGGAUACUGGCAGGCUAGAGUGCGGUAGAGGAUAGUGGAAUUCCCGGUGUAGCAGUGAAAUGCGUAGAGAUCGGGAGGAACAUCUGUGGCGAAGGCGACUAUCUGGGGCCAGCACUGACACUGAGGCGACGAAACGACGGUGGGGAGGACGAAACGAAGGAGUAGUAUACCCUACGGUAGUACCGACCGACCCGUAAACCGAACUAGCGACGUAGGUAGUGUUGGGUUGGUCGACUAGGACGACUC